rnacentral:rRNA from 1 species
UACGUAGGGUGCAAGCGUUGUCCGGAAUUAUUGGGCGUAAAGAGCUCGUAGGCGGUCUGUCGCGUCUGCUGUGAAAACUCGGGGCUUAACCCCGGGCCUGCAGUGGGUACGGGCAGACUAGAGUGCGGUAGGGGAGACUGGAAUUCCUGGUGUAGCGGUGAAAUGCGCAGAUAUCAGGAGGAACACCAGUGGCGAAGGCGGGUCUCUGGGCCGUAACUGACGCUGAGGAGCGAAAGCGUGGGGAGCGAACAGG